AUUGAACGCUGGCGGAAUGCUUUACACAUGCAAGUCGAACGGUAGAGGGGGCAACCCCUUGAGAGUGGCGAACGGGUGAGUAAUAUAUCGGAACGUGCCCAGUCGUGGGGAUAACGUAGCGAAAGUUACGCUAAUACCGCAUACGAUCUAAGGAUGAAAGCGGGGGAUCGCAAGACCUCGCGCGAUUGGAGCGGCCGAUAUCAGAUUAGGUAGUUGGUGAGGUAAAGGCUCACCAAGCCAACGAUCUGUAGCUGGUCUGAGAGGACGACCAGCCACACUGGAACUGAGACACGGUCCAGACUCCUACGGGAGGCAGCAGUGGGGAAUUUUGGACAAUGGACGCAAGUCUGAUCCAGCCAUUCCGCGUGCAGGAUGAAGGCCCUCGGGUUGUAAACUGCUUUGUACGGAACGAAAGGUUUCUAUUAAUACUAGGAGCUCAUGACGGUACCGUAAGAAUAAGCACCGGCUAACUACGUGCCAGCAGCCGCGGUAAGUGACU
rnacentral:rRNA from 1 species